AAAAAAGGUAAGCUACUAAGAGCGAAUGGUGGAUGCCUUGACUGGUAAAGGCGAUGAAGGACGUACUAGACUGCGAUAAGCUACGGGGAGCUGUCAAGAAGCUUUGAUCCGUAGAUUUCCGAAUGGGGCAACCCAAUGUAUAGAGAUAUACAUUACCUAUAUAGGAGCGAACGAGGGGAAUUGAAACAUCUUAGUACCCUCAGGAAAAGAAAUCAAUAGAGAUUGCGUCAGUAGCGGCGAGCGAAAGCGUAAGAGGGCAAACCCAGUGCUUGCACUGGGGGUUGUAGGACUGCAAUGUGCAAGAGGUGAGUUUAGCAGAACAUUCUGGAAAGUAUAGCCAUAGAGGGUGAUAGUCCCGUAUGCGAAAAACAAACCUUAGCUAGCAGUAUCCUGAGUAGGGCGGGACACGAGAAAUCCUGUCUGAAGCUGGGUCGACCACGAUCCAACCCUAAAUACUAAUACCAGAUCGAUAGUGCACAAGUACCGUGAGGGAAAGGUGAAAAGAACUGAGGUGAUCAGAGUGAAAUAGAACCUGAAACCAUUUGCUUACAAUCAUUCAGAGCACUAUGUAGCAAUACAGUGUGAUGGACUGCCUUUUGCAUAAUGAGCCUGCGAGUUGUGGUGUCUGGCAAGGUUAAGCAAACGCGAAGCCGUAGCGAAAGCGAGUCUGAAUAGGGCGCUUAGUCAGAUGCUGCAGACCCGAAACGAAGUGAUCUAUCCAUGAGCAAGUUGAAGCUAGUGUAAGAACUAGUGGAGGACUGAACCCAUAGGCGUUGAAAAGCCCCGGGAUGACUUGUGGAUAGGGGUGAAAGGCCAAUCAAACUUCGUGAUAGCUGGUUCUCUCCGAAAUAUAUUUAGGUAUAGCGUUGUGUCGUAAUAUAAGGGGGUAGAGCACUGAAUGGGCUAGGGCAUACACCAAUGUACCAAACCCUAUCAAACUCCGAAUACCUUAUAUGUAAUCACAGCAGUCAGGCGGCGAGUGAUAAAAUCCGUCGUCAAGAGGGAAACAACCCAGACUACCAGCUAAGGUCCCUAAAUCUUACUUAAGUGGAAAACGAUGUGAAGUUACUUAAACAACCAGGAGGUUGGCUUAGAAGCAGCCAUCCUUUAAAGAAAGCGUAAUAGCUCACUGGUCUAGUGAUUUUGCGCGGAAAAUAUAACGGGGCUAAAGUAAGUACCGAAGCUGUAGACUUGAUUUUAUCAAGUGGUAGGAGAGCGUUCUAUUUGCGCCGAAGGUAUACCGGUAAGGAGUGCUGGAGCGAAUAGAAGUGAGCAUGCAGGCAUGAGUAGCGAUAAUUAAUGUGAGAAUCAUUAACGCCGUAAACCCAAGGUUUCCUACGCGAUGCUCGUCAUCGUAGGGUUAGUCGGGUCCUAAGUCGAGUCCGAAAGGGGUAGACGAUGGCAAAUUGGUUAAUAUUCCAAUACCAACAUUAGUGUGCGAUGGAAGGACGCUUAGGGCUAAGGGGGCUAGCGGAUGGAAGUGCUAGUCUAAGGUCGUAGGAGGUUAUACAGGCAAAUCCGUAUAACAUACUCCGAGAACUGAAAGGCUUUUUGAAGUCUUCGGAUGGAUAGAAGAACCCCUGAUGCCGUCGAGCCAAGAAAAGUUUCUAAGUUUAGCUAAUGUUGCCCGUACCGUAAACCGACACAGGUGGGUGGGAUGAGUAUUCUAAGGCGCGUGGAAGAACUCUCUUUAAGGAACUCUGCAAAAUAGCACCGUAUCUUCGGUAUAAGGUGUGGUUCGCUUCGUAUUAGGAUUUACUCCGAAAGCGAAGAAACUUACAACAAAGAGUCCCUCCCGACUGUUUACCAAAAACACAGCACUCUGCUAACUCGUAAGAGGAUGUAUAGGGUGUGACGCCUGCCCGGUGCUCGAAGGUUAAUUGAUGGGGUUAGCAUUAGCGAAGCUCUUGAUCGAAGCCCGAGUAAACGGCGGCCGUAACUAUAACGGUCCUAAGGUAGCGAAAUUCCUUGUCGGUUAAAUACCGACCUGCAUGAAUGGCGUAACGAGAUGGGAGCUGUCUCAAAGAGGGAUCCAGUGAAAUUGUAGUGGAGGUGAAAAUUCCUCCUACCCGCGGCAAGACGGAAAGACCCCGUGGACCUUUACUAUAGCUUGACACUGCUAUUUGGAUAAGAAUGUGCAGGAUAGGUGGGAGGCUUUGAGUAUAUGACGCCAGUUGUAUAUGAGCCAUUGUUGAGAUACCACUCUUUCUUAUUUGGGUAGCUAACCAGCUUGAGUUAUCCUCAAGUGGGACAAUGUCUGGUGGGUAGUUUGACUGGGGCGGUCGCCUCCCAAAUAAUAACGGAGGCUUACAAAGGUUGGCUCAGAACGGUUGGAAAUCGUUCGUAGAGUAUAAAGGUAUAAGCCAGCUUAACUGCAAGACAUACAAGUCAAGCAGAGACGAAAGUCGGUCUUAGUGAUCCGGUGGUUCUGUGUGGAAGGGCCAUCGCUCAAAGGAUAAAAGGUACCCCGGGGAUAACAGGCUGAUCUCCCCCAAGAGCUCACAUCGACGGGGAGGUUUGGCACCUCGAUGUCGGCUCAUCGCAUCCUGGGGCUGGAGCAGGUCCCAAGGGUAUGGCUGUUCGCCAUUUAAAGCGGUACGCGAGCUGGGUUCAGAACGUCGUGAGACAGUUCGGUCCCUAUCUGCCGUGGGCGUAAGAAGAUUGAAGAGAUUUGACCCUAGUACGAGAGGACCGGGUUGAACAAACCACUGGUGUAGCUGUUGUUCUGCCAAGAGCAUCGCAGCGUAGCUAAGUUUGGAAAGGAUAAACGCUGAAAGCAUCUAAGCGUGAAGCCAACUCUAAGAUGAAUCUUCUCUAAGCUCUCUAGAAGACUACUAGUUUGAUAGGCUGGGUGUGUAAUGGAUGAAAGUCCUUUAGCUGACCAGUACUAAUAGAGCGUUUGGCUUAUCUUUAAUAAAGCAU
rnacentral:rRNA from 1 species